rnacentral:rRNA from 1 species
GGAACGUUGAAGACGACGACGUUGAUAGGUCGGGUGUGUAAGUGUAGCGAUACAUUGAGCUAACCGAUACUAAUGAACCGUGAGGCUUAACCUU